UACGUAGGGGCCUAGCGUUGUCCGGAUUUAUUGGGCGUAAAGAGCUCGUAGGCGGUUUGGUGAGUCGGGUGUGAAAUCUCCACGCUCAACGUGGAGGGGCCACCCGAUACUGCCAUGACUAGAGUCCGGUAGGGGAGUGUGGAAUUCCCGGUGUAGCGGUGAAAUGCGCAGAGAUCGGGAAGAACACCCGUGGCUAAGGCGGCUCUCUAGUACGGUACUGACGCUGAGACGCGAAAGCGUGGGGAGCGAACAGG
rnacentral:rRNA from 1 species